CAGUAGCCGCGGUAAUACGUAGGGUGCGAGCGUUAAUCGGAAUUACUGGGCGUAAAGCGUGCGCAGGCGGCGAUGUAAGACAGUUGUGAAAUCCCCGGGCUCAACCUGGGAACUGCAUCUGUGACUGCAUCGCUGGAGUGCGGCAGAGGGGGAUGGAAUUCCGCGUGUGGCAGUGAAAUGCGCAGAUAUGCGGAGGAACACCGAUGGCGAAGGCAAUUCCCUGGGCCUGCACUGACGCUCAUGCACGAAAGCGUGGGGAGCAAACAGGAUUAGAUACCCCCGUAGUCCCUGUCUCUUAUAC
rnacentral:rRNA from 1 species